CCUUUCCCGUCUCUGUGGUUUGUAAGGUAGGUUGCAGUGUGUGUAUAUACACAACAUCAAGAGCAGGAAAAUGGACUCAUUAGGGAGGCAGGCAGUCAUUACCACUCACACUGUACUUCCAGGGAGACAGCGACUAUGAGGAGACAAACUGAGGACUGGGGAACAAGCAGCAUAAGAAAGAAGUGUUGAGAGCUGCUCUUAACCCUUUUGGAGUCCGAAGUCAAAAGGGAACUAGAGGGAUUGACACAUCCUUUACAUCCUGCAUUUACUCUGACCACAGUCCCUCCCUGUUCUCACAAGCGGAGCUCAGCCCUGCUUCCCUUCCUGUUGAUUCCCAGUCAGCUACAUGACUGCCUGAAGUUACAUUGUAGAUGCUGAAAUCACUGCACCUUAAAAACAAAAAGAUUAAGCUGCACUGCAUUCCUGUAAGUAAAAGCUUUUCCGGUACCUUUUGUCCGUAUUUUUACUCUAUAUGCAUCCCAAGUGUUAGCAUAGUAGCUGGUCUUGGAUAAAGGUCAGAGUCCCCUUGAAUGGGAUUCAGAAGUUCAAAGGAUGUUUUAUUUAAAAACUAAACCAGAAUUUACAUCUUACAGAUCUUUAAUUUCAGAACCCUGAAUAGAUCAUUCUCUUCUGCUUUGUUUUGAAUAUUAUUAGGAAUAGUGUACAUCUCUGUGUUUGUUGACUUACAGUUCCUGUCGCUUUGUCAGUGAGGAUUUCUGCACUUUGGUGCAGAGAUAACAGAAAGUAGCAGAAGAUUCCUUAUAGCAUAAAAUAUAGGUUAUUCUCUUUUC